UACUUAGCUGUCAAAAUGUACGGAGUGUCCCCCCCCUGGUCCAUACGUUUACAGAUUCCAUGCUGUGUGUAAUGCUGUGUUGUGUGUUUAGAUACAAUUAGAUACAGAGAACUCUAACGGGCUCUUAAGUGUUAUUUAUCAACUGGGUGUUCUUACAAUGGCAGAGGCGACCAUCAAAAAUAUCGACAAUGCUUGCGAAACAGCAGAGGAAUUUACGAAAGUAUUUUACAAGCAAGUAGACAACAACCGGCAUUUAUCAUCCAAACUGUACUUGGACACUGGCCUCCUGGUUUGGAACGGCAACGGAAUCAACGGCAAUGACAAAAUUCAGAAGUUUCUUAUGGACUUGCCUGCCAGUAAUCAUGUGCUCAAGACAUUAGAUGCACAACCUAUAUCAGACAAUUUGGUGUCCAACAAGUUAACUUACCUCAUUCAAGCUUGUGGAGAUGUGACCUAUCAAAAUGACGAUAGCAAGAAGCCCUUCCAACAAACGUUUGUGAUAGUUGCUGUUGAUGGCAAGUGGAAAAUUGCAUCAGAUUGCUUCAGACUACAAGUUCCUUACAACAGUUAAUCUAUAUUUGAUGAUGGAGUGCUAAAGGAAAAAGUUUGAAGUCCUCACAAGAAUGAAGCAUAGAAUUUUUGCUGCAUUUGUAAAAUAUCAUGUUAUAAAUAAGUGUUGGAAAAAGAAAAAAAUGGUUGUAGGAAAGAAAAUACAAUAUUUUUAUUCAAAUAAGUUUUAUAUUUACAUUUAUUAAUAUGUACUAAAGGAAAUUGGCACUCAAUGCAUGAAAACAUCCCCUGGGCUAAUAAACCUGAUUCAUAUGUAUAUCAAAUCAUGCUGUGAUAUAAAGCAUAUUUUGACUGAUAAUUUUAAUAAUUGAAGAUAAUAAUAAUUAAGGUAGUAUAGAGAUUACAGUGAACUCAAAUGUUACUAUUAAAAAAUAUCAGCCUCUUUCCUGCCACCUCAGUGAGACAGGCUCUUAUUUAAUAAUACAUAUGGUUGCCGCGUUUAUCUUCAUGCUCGGAAACCCAGGUUCCAAAAUCCUUUAUUACAAAAGAUCUGCAAUACAUGUCAUGAUUUAGACAAACACUUGUUUUCAAAAUUGUGUUCCUGUAAAGUUUGAAUCCAUAUUUAUAAAAGUUUAGUGCAAACAA